GGGGCAGGGGAGAGAAUGUGCUAAAAUAUCAGUAACUGGUGGAUUAGGUCAAGUGUAUAUGGGUGUGUGUAUUUGUCCGCAGUUUUUAAAUUUAAAAACUCAUGUUUAAAAAACAAGUCAGUGUGAUGUAAUAAAAGGGAGGGGUACUGAGCUAAAUUAGUAAAUUUAAAAACGCGUAACAGUAAGUCAGGCUGGGCAUGGUCCUAGAUUGGAUAUUAGUUAGGGCAAACUAACAAAAGGACGUUUUGGCUUUUCUUGGGAAAAUACCAUAAGGAAGAGAAACUAAGGAAGCAUUCUCAUACUAAGCACAUGGCACCGUGUGGACAGGGCCUUUGACCGUGACAUCGUCGUCUCUACCUUUUUCUGUAAGGAAAAGCCAAUUUGCAUUGAUUCUACCUGACAUCAGCGUCUGAGGUAGCAUUAAAUAACAAAUUCAAAAAAAACAACAGAGAACUCAAUAUUUUAGACAGAGAAGGAGGUCUGAAGAAAACCAAGGGUCUCACUAUUUUCAUCUGAAGUACACUUCCUGAUUUCCCUUUAAAAAAAAAAAAUCACUACGAAAUACACGUUUCUGAGCAACUUGAAGCUUUAUAAAGAAUAAAGAAAUAAUCAGCACCCACACUGUGGCAAACAUUCCAACAGAAAGAAAAAUUGAGACUGUCUAGAUGUAUGUCAUUGGACUUCCUAGAGUAUCCCCGGACACUUCUUUCGAGUCAGGAGACAGACCUCCUCCAGAAGCCCUCUGGGAAUGCUCUUCCCCAUUAUUUUUUGGCACCACGUAUAUAAUCUUUUCAAAUACAAAAAUGCUGUAAAUUUCCACGUGUUCCCAUUAUAAACCUGCUCGCGGUAAAGGUUAAAGGUUUCUUUGAAUUAAGUCCACUUCCAUGACAUGAACUACUUUCUACAAAUUUCCCCAAUGGUGCAAGGACACGCACAAGAAAAACCUUCCACACACCCUUUUAACGCCACACAAGAGAUGUGACCUUUAAAAAAAAAAAAAAAAAAAAAGGUGUCUACUACCGCUGAAAAUACGCUAGAGAAAAAAAGUUAAACCCCAACAAUAAAGUCCGUUCUCGUACAAUUUUACUAAUAAUGCCCACGAAUACACAUUAAAAGUUUCCUGCCCGCAACGUAGGAGAGAAAAAGAACACUCCUCACCCAACCUUUCCAAAAUUUAUUAGAAAACGCGGAGACGUGUUGCUAACGCGGUGGGAGAAAACAGGUGGUGUACCUACCAUCUUCCUCCCUGAUUCCCCUCCAUGCUCCCAAAUCUGUUUCGAUUUGAAACACUUUUUCUUAAAUUCUGGGAUGACUGGAAUGUGUACGGUCAAAGCCAGAGAGACAAAGAUUAACAGCUGUCAACCGGCAGAACAAAACAGCUAUUGACCGUCCCGGCGCAGCCUGGCAAUACGGAGUUGUUCUCUUUAGACAGAGUGAUAGACGGGCUGAACACAUUUUUUUAAGGAUCACAAGAGAUGUUUAAAUCCAAACUGGUCUGCCGUGUCUUUUGACCUAAGGAAUCCCAGGAGCUAAUGCUGUCACAACAGCCUUCCAGACUGGGCCACUGCUGGCCCAGGAGGGGCCUUUGUGCUCUGGGUUAAGAGCCACACAGCAGAACUCAGCCCUCAUUCCAGCUUCUACUUCCCUUCCGCGCCCUCCCGAACCGGGACAGACCUUCCAGGGAGGCUCUGCUUCCUAAAAUACCUCUUUGAUCACAAAGUGAUGCUGCAACCUACCCCUAAUGGCUGCAGGACUUCCGACACAAUCUUCUACACCACCCAGCCUGGCAACCAAGGGUGAAUUAGUUGCAGCCACCACCACGACCAACAAAAAAGCCAACUCCGACCACACCUUCCACCUUACAGGUGCCUGUUCUGCCCCAAACCACGGGCGAUGGCUGGGAAACGCACUGGAACCUGGAUUCCAUCUUUCAGCCUCCUUUCCUGUUACGCAGUCGGCUACACAUUCCCCACGGUGCGGCCGGACAAGCAAGGCCCGUCUGUCCUGUGCCACAUCCCCCAUUCGCUCUCUUCCAAGCUGUUUCUGGCCGUUGGUAAAUGCUAGUGAUUUUUUGA